GAUGAACGCUGGCGGCGUGCCUAAUACAUGCAAGUCGAGCGAACGGACGAGAAGCUUGCUUCUCUGAUGUUAGCGGCGGACGGGUGAGUAACACGUGGAUAACCUACCUAUAAGACUGGGAUAACUUCGGGAAACCGGAGCUAAUACCGGAUAAUAUUUUGAACCGCAUGGUUCAAAAGUGAAAGACGGUCUUGCUGUCACUUAUAGAUGGAUCCGCGCUGCAUUAGCUAGUUGGUAAGGUAACGGCUUACCAAGGCAACGAUGCAUAGCCGACCUGAGAGGGUGAUCGGCCACACUGGAACUGAGACACAGUCCAGACUCCUACGGGAGGCAGCAGUAGGGAAUCUUCCGCAAUGGGCGAAAGCCUGACGGAGCAACGCCGCGUGAGUCAUGAAGGUCUUCGGAUCGUAAAACUCUUUUAUUAGGGAAGAACAUAUGUGUAAGUAACUGUGCACAUCUUGACGGUACCUAAUCAGAAAGCCACGGCUAACUACGUG
rnacentral:rRNA from 1 species